UCGCGGCUUGCGCCGGCAGUCUCGACAGAGUCCUCGGCUUCACCCGUUAGUAACUGUCCAUAGGGGUUGCGCUCGUUAUGGCACUUAAGCCGACACCUCACGGCACGAGCUGACGACAACCAUGCAGCACCUCGCAGGUGACUAUUACUAGCUGCCGGCUUUCACCGACAUUCCCCCUGCGUUUGAGCCCGGGUAAGGUUCCUCGCGUAUCAUCGAAUUAAACCACAUGUUCCUCCGCUUGUGCGGGCCCCCGUCAAUUCCUUUGAGUUUCACCGUUGCCGGCGUACUCCCCAGGUGGAAUACUUAACGCUUUCGCUGUACCGCUUACAUUGUAUCGCAAACAGUUAGUAUUCAUCGUUUACUGCGUGGACUAC
rnacentral:misc_RNA from 1 species